rnacentral:rRNA from 1 species
ACUCGUCUGAGAGGCACUGCCUGCCCAGUGACGUACGUUCAACGUGCCGCGAGAUAUCCUGACCGUGCAAAGGUAGCAUAAUCACUUGUUCCUUAAUUGGGGACUAGCAUGAAUGGCAACACGAGGGUUAAACUGUCUCUUUCUUCCAAUCAGUGAAAUUGACCUCCCCGUGAAGAGGCGGGGAUAAAAUAAUAAGACGAGAAGACCCUAUGGAGCUUUAAUUAUUUAACCCAACACUUCCUUUAUUCUACUCUACAAUGAGCCUAACCAAGGAAAUCCCUGGGUUAAAAAUUUUGGUUGGGGUGACCUCGGAGUAUAAAUCAACCUCCGAAUGAUUUUAGCCUAGACCCAACAAGUCAAAGCAAUUAUAAUCAUAAAUUGACCCAAAUAAUUUGAUCAACGGAACAAGUUACCCUAGGGAUAACAGCGCAAUCCUAUUUUAGAGUCCCUAUCGACAAUAGGGUUUACGACCUCGAUGUUGGAUCAGGACAUCCCAAUGGUGUAGCCGCUAUUAAAGGUUCGUUUGUUCAACGAUUAAAGUCCUACGUGAUCUGGUUU